CUUUUCGGCUUUCCCGGUUUACCUGUGCAAGUUAAGCAACGUUGAGUCCAGUUAGUACUUGGAUCGGAGACGGCCUGGGAAUCCUGGAUGUUGUAAGCU
rnacentral:rRNA from 1 species